CUAUUAGAAUGGCCAAAAUUGGAACACUGACAUCAGAUACUGGUGAGGAUGUGGAGCAACAGGAAUUCUCAUACAUUGCUGGUGGGAAUGCAAAAUGGUUCAGCCACCUUGGAAGACAGUUUGGCAGUUUCUCACAAAACGAAGUAUAUUCUUACCGUACGAUCCAGCAGUUGUGCUCCUUAGUAUUUAUUCAAAGGAGCUGAAAAGUUAUAUCCACAGAAAAGCCUGCAUGUGGAUGUUUAUAGAAGCUUUGUUCAUAAUUGCCAAAACUUGGAAGCAACCGGUUUGGUAGCACUGUGGAUUCUGGUCUGUCUUUGCCAAUCUGCGUGCUACCAUCUACUUUGCAGUCCUCAAAUGGCUGCUCUCUGCAUUCUCUCCAGGUUUUAUAGCUGCAUCAAGUGGGAUAAACAGGGCAUAGUUACCCCAUUUUACUUAAAACCAGAACCUCUUAUUUCUUUUAUAUCUUGCUAAAAAUAUAUCUCUGUAUUUAUUUACAGAGUCUCUUUUGUUAUUUUUACAACUGUUUUCCUUGAAAAAGCCUCCUCAACUGCUGAGUAACAGUAUUACCUUAGGUAGAGUGACCCAGAAGCAGAGAACGAGGCAGGGAUUCUUACUGAGGAGUGUUCUCAGGAGGAACCUCAAAGGAAGGAAGUGAAGCGAGCGGGAAAGGCAGGAGAAGCAGCUAAGCAAAGAGGUGGUGUCAGCAGAAGGCUCCCAUCAGCUUGAUUCCACCGAGAGCUCUAGAGCAAAGAUGGCACCACAGAGUUGUCUCCCUUGAGGCAAAGGAGUUGGUCUUUUGCUCUUUCAUACCAAUCAGUCAUUGGCUGUGUUGGCGGGUACAUAACCUCUUAGGCAUCGCUGGAUGAGGUGGCUCCCGUCAGCUGAGAACAAUUCUCUAGAGAAGAGUGCAGCUGUGAGCUGUUAGCAGCCAACACUCACAACUGCUAAAUAGAAGAUAAAUAGAGCUGAUCUUGGUUCUGGGCAAGAUGGAGCCAGCAGCUGGGGGAUGGGUGCACUAGACUGGUAAAGAAGCUCCGGGUGGGGCAUCAGCACCAUCAUUAUAAGGAUUAAUCACACAUUUCAGUAGUGAUAGUCACUGAAUGACACCAUUUCCUUCCAAAACACAGAGAACCACUAACUAGUGGCGGCAUUGCAGGAACCAUGCCUAAGCUGAAAUAAUUAGCCUCUAGAGCAAUUGUUCUCAACAUUUAGUGUGCAUGAGAAUCGCUUGGGGAACUUGUUACAGAUGCAGAUUCCAACACCAAUCAGAGAUUAUUACUCAACAGAUCUGCGACGGGAACUGCAUUUUAACAAGCACCUCCUCGAUUCACUUUGAGAUUAUGAUUUAUAAAUCUACGUUUUAAUGUUUAGUGCUUACUCACAUGACAUGUUUCAGUUAACAGUGGAAUAUCUGGGU
rnacentral:lncRNA from 1 species